GUCUAUAGCCAUACCACCCUGAAUGUGCCUGAUCUCAUUUGAUCUUGAAAGCUAAGCAGGGUCAGGCCUGGUUAGUACUUGGAUGGGAGAUCUCCUUUAACCUAGCAUUGUAUUUA
ensembl:rRNA 5S_rRNA 5S ribosomal RNA